rnacentral:rRNA from 1 species
UACGUAGGGUGCGAGCGUUGUCCGGAAUUAUUGGGCGUAAAGAGCUCGUAGGCGGUUUGUCGCGUCUGCUGUGAAAUCCCGAGGCUCAACCUUGGGCCUGCAGUGGGUACGGGCAAACUAGAGUGCGGUAGGGGAGAUUGGAAUUCCUGGUGUAGCGGUGGAAUGCGCAGAUAUCAGGAGGAACACCGAUGGCGAAGGCAGAUCUCUGGGCCGUAACUGACGCUGAGGAGCGAAAGCGUGGGGAGCGAACAGG